ACGAACGCUGGCGGCGUGCCUAAUACAUGCAAGUCGCGCGAAGUUUUUCUGGUGCUUGCACUAGAAAAACUUCGCGGCGAACGGGUGAGUAACACGUAAAGAACCUGCCUCAUAGACUGGGACAACUAUUGGAAACGAUAGCUAAUACCGGAUAACAGUAUUUCUCGCAUGAGAGAUAUUUAAAAGUUGGUUAUGCUAACACUAUGAGAUGGCUUUGCGGUGCAUUAGCUAGUUGGUGGGGUAAAGGCCCACCAAGGCGACGAUGCAUAGCCGACCUGAGAGGGUGAUCGGCCACACUGGGACUGAGACACGGCCCAGACUCCUACGGGAGGCAGCAGUAGGGAAUCUUCCGCAAUGGGCGAAAGCCUGACGGAGCAACGCCGCGUGAGUGAAGAAGGAUUUCGGUUCGUAAAGCUCUGUUGUUAGGGAAGAAUGGAUAUGUAGUAACUAUACAUGUAAGAGACGGUACCUAACCAGAAAGCCACGGCUAACUACGUG
rnacentral:rRNA from 1 species